rnacentral:rRNA from 1 species
UACGUAGGGUGCGAGCGUUAAUCGGAAUUACUGGGCGUAAAGCGUGCGCAGGCGGUUAUAUAAGACAGAUGUGAAAUCCCCGGGCUCAACCUGGGAACUGCAUUUGUGACUGUAUAGCUAGAGUACGGUAGAGGGGGAUGGAAUUCCGCGGUGUAGCAAGUGAAAUGCGUAGAUAAUGCGGAGGAACACCGAUGGCGAAGGCAAUCCCCUGGACCUGUACUCGA